rnacentral:rRNA from 1 species
CACGUAGUUAGCCGGGGCUUCUUAGUCAGGUACCGUCCAGGCGCCCAAGGGGCACCUUUCUUCCCUGCUGAUAGAGCUUUACAUACCGAAAUACUUCUUCACUCACGCGGCGUCGCUGCAUCAGGGUUUCCCCCAUUGUGCAAUAUUCCCCACUGCUGCCUCCCGUAGGAGUUUGGGCCGUGUCUCAGUCCCAAUGUGGCCGUCCGCCCUCUCAGGCCGGCUACCGAUCGUCGCUUUGGUGGGCCGUUACCCCGCCAACUGGCUAAUCGGACGCGGAUCCAUCGUAUGCCGUUAAACCUUUUCACACUGUGUCAUGCGACACCGUGCGCUUAUGCGGUAUUAGCAACUGUUUCCAGUUGGUAUCCCCCUGCAUACGGCAGGUUAUCCACGCGUUACUCACCCGUCCGCCACUCACUUAAUUAUCACUAGGUUUCAAAUUAAGUCCGUUCGACUUGCAUGUGUUAGGCACGCCGCCAGCGUUCAUCCUGAGCCAGGAUCAAACUCU